GACAGAGGUCCCGAGCGUUAGGCGGAAUCACUGGGCUUAAAGCGUGUGUAGGCGGACUUCUAAGUACCUUGUGAAAUCCCACGGCUUAACCGUGGAACUGCUUGGUAUACUGGUUGUCUUGGGCCACUUAGGGGCUACCGGAACAAACGGUGGAGCGGUGAAAUGCGUAGAUAUCUGGAGGAACACCGGUGGCGAAGGCGGCAUCCUGGACCGGUAUUGACGCUGAGGCGCGAAAGCCAGGGGAGCAAACGGG
rnacentral:rRNA from 1 species